UUUCUGGUUGAUCCCGCCGGACCUGACUGCUAUCGGAUUGAUACUAAGCCAUGCGAGUCUUUGUAGUAAUACAAGGCAGACGGCUCAGUAACACGUAGUCAACCUACCCUAUGGACGAGAAUAAUCUCGGGAAACUGAGCAUAAUUCUUGAUAGAUCAUAAUGCCUGGAAUGGUUUAUGGUUAAAAUGAUUCGUCGCCAUAGGAUGGGACUGCGGCCUAUCAGCUUGUUGGUGAGGUAAUGGCCCACCAAGGCGAUUACAGGUACGGGCUCUGAGAGGAGAAGCCCGGAGAUGGGUACUGAGACACGGACCCAGGCCCUAUGGGGCGCAGCAGGCGAGAAAACUUUGCAAUGUGCGAAAGCACGACAAGGUUAAUCCGAGUGAUUUCUGCUAAAGAAAUCUUUUGCCAGUCGUAAAACCGCUGGUGAAUAAGGGGUGGGCAAGUUCUGGUGCCAGCAGCCGCGGUAAU
rnacentral:rRNA from 1 species